GGAUCAUUUCUUGAGAGAAGAGUUACUGGAUUACGUAGAGUAAGGAUACUAAACAAAAAUGAUGCCGAAGAUUUCACAGAUUAUACAUGGGGAUACCAGCUAAUUCCAUGCAAUAAUUUCAUGGAGGUUGGGCUGUCAGGAGAGAAAUUAAAUAUUCACACAGAACAAGGGUCAAGUAAUAUUCAAUGGAGAAGGUUUGGAAACUCUAAUCAUCAAAGACUCACAUGGUACAAGACUCAAUUUGAUGCACCCAAAGGAAAUGACCCUGUUGCAUUAAACCUUGGUUCUAUGGGAAAAGGGGAAGCUUGGGUUAAUGGACAAAGUAUUGGGCAAUAUUGGGUCUCAUUUCUUACCCCAGAAGGGAGUCCUUCACAAACAUGG